AUGAGGAGAAAGGCACCUGAAAUCGAGCGGGAGGAGAGAUGGAGCCGAUCUGAAGCAUUUGCUGCGUGCCUAGCUCUAGGAGGAGAGACAACCAAUCUGAAAAACAUAGAUGGCAGCCUGCAGCCUAAUAGAAACCGAAAAAGGGUACGAGGGUUGCCGUCGGUGCUGGAGCGACGGGAGCCUCGAGCGGGCCGAAGCCUUCUCCUCUGCAGAAGAGCUGGCCAUGGCCGGUGGAGGGGGGGUAUCGGCAGCGGCGACGUGUCCCAGGAGGUCGUGGGGUUGGGAUAUAUGCACCUUGGGGAGAGGCAGAGAAACUGA
rnacentral:rRNA from 1 species